UACGAAACGAUGAUAGGGAUAGUAAAUGCAUUCAUACACUUAUUUAAGCGAACUGGAGAUGGUGGAAGUCCGGUAUAAGUGAACGUAUUGAAUAUCACCCUGGAGUUCCGAGUCGAACCCGUUAAUGGUAGUAAACAAGGCGUUACAUUCACGUUACGAAUGCUUGAGAGGAUAAAGAGUGUCUAAUACUUUAUCUAGCCAGGGUGGUACCGCGGGAAAAAGUCUUCUCGUCCCUAUA
rnacentral:ncRNA from 1 species